GAUGAACGCUAGCGGCAGGCUUAACACAUGCAAGUCGAGGGGCAGCACGGAAGUGGUAACACUUUUGGUGGCGACCGGCGGACGGGUGCGUAACGCGUAUGCAACCUACCCUUUACUCGGGGAUAACGGAUGGAAACGUCCACUAAUACCUGGUAAUAUCAGAGAGGGCAUCCUCUUUGGUUGAAAGAAUUUUGGUAUAGGAUGGGCAUGCGUAACAUUAGUUAGUUGGUGAGGUAACGGCUCACCAAGGCUACGAUGUUUAGGGGGACUGCGAGGUUAACCCCCCACACUGGAACUGAGACACGGUCCAGACUCCUACGGGAGGCAGCAGUGAGGAAUAUUGGGCAAUGGGCGGAAGCCUGAUCCAGCAAUGCCGCGUGCAGGAUGAAGGCCUUCGGGUUGUAAACUGCUUUUGUACGGGGCGAAAAGGCUCUCUCUAAUACAGGGGGCUCAUGACGGUACCGUAAGAAUAAGCACCGGCUAACUACGUGCCAGCCGCCGCGGUAA
rnacentral:rRNA from 1 species